rnacentral:rRNA from 1 species
CCCUUAGAUGUUCUGGGCCGCACGCGUGCUACACUGAGUGGAUCAGCGGGUCAGGUUACGCGAGAGCGUUUCCUAAUCUUCAAAUCCGCUCGUGAUGGGGAUUGACGGUUGCAAUUUUCCGUCAUGAACGAGGAAUACCUUGUAAGCGCGGGUCAUCAUCCCGCGCUGAAUACGUCCCUGCCCUUUGUACACACCGCCCGUCACUCCUACCGAUUGAGUGGUCCGGUGAGGCUUUGGGAUCUGAGCGGAAAGAGCGUUUCGCUGUUUCUGCCCGGAAAACUCAGUCGAACCUUAUCAUUUAGAGGAAGGAGAAGUCGUAACA